CCCCUCUCAGGAUCGCGCCAGGAGAGUUUCCAGUACUCUUUCAGUCUUGACUACAGGAGGGAGGAUCAAGCAGAGGUAUACACCCCUUCCAUUCCUAGCUUGGGCAGUGGCUAGUGAGUGGAAGACAAUCUGCUACCAAU